UUUCUCAAUACAAUUCAAACCCAAAUCAGAGAUUAUUCUCUAUACCAAACAACACUUUAACCCCUCUCACAUGACAACUCUGGCCCUCUCCUUUCUGACUCGAUUGAAGUCCUUACCCUUGAGGCUUCAGCGCUGAAUUUUGAUUUUAAACAUGAUUUUAACCUUUCAGCCUUGCCACACGCGAUGUCACUCCUCAGAACACAAAUUUUGAUUUUGAACACGGGUUUUGGGAGAUUUUUUCAAAGAGAACCUUCAAACAUUGAUUCAGUAUUGAAUUCUUAAAAAUUAAUUUGAAUGAUCUUCCAUUAAAUCAUUCCGAAUUGGGACCAAUUUCAUCUUAUAACCCCAAUCGAAAAGAUGAAACUAGACAAGACUAUUUACCUAGAUAUCUAUGUCAACCAAUAGGGCAUGAUUUUCCACAAGACGUCUUAAAUCAGAUCGGUUUCAACAACAUGUAAAUUAGUUAGAAUAAACUCAUAAAGUGUCAAAAUAGAUGGAGCAUAUUGCUUGUAUUGUUACUUUGUAAAGUUAUACUAAGUAAUGCUUCGGUGAAUAGACAAAUGAUAGCCCCAACAAUCCAAAAGACGUUGUAAUUGUAAUGCUUCGGGGAAUAGACAAAUGAUAGCCCCAACAAUCCAAAAGACGUUCUAAUUAUAACGUUGAACAAUAGUUCUUUCAACAAGUUCGGUCGAAGAUGUAAUGCAACACUUUCAAACGAUGAAAUCUCGUAACGAACAACUAUAGGUCGUUUUUUAUAAUUGGUAAAGAUGAUCGUAUUUAUAUUAUGUGUUUUUAAAAUUCUAAUGACAUUGUUAUCUUUACUAUUGUAUUGUAUUUUUAUUAUGUGACCAAUCUAACCCAACCCAAAUCGUUGAAUCAACCCUUAAUUUUUAUGUCAAGUUCUAAGAAAUUGGAGCAUCUAAAAACAGUGACUCCAUUAGAAUAGAUUCCUGGAUUCGCUCGUGUUUAAGGGGGUUAAAGUGUAAGUUUCAUAAUCAUGCUUAAGGGGCUUGUAUAAUAGUGCUUAUUCCAUUUGUACCUUAAAAAAAUAAUAUCUUAUUCCAUUUGUACUUUAAAAAAAUAAUAUGACCAAUAGUUUUGUGUGGGACACCGAUAACAUAAAUUAAUGGUCUAUAUUUUUGUGGGUGUUACAAUUGGAAUGUGUUGGUGCUUUGAAUAGUAUGUGGAAAGUUUGAUCGAAAUUCUUGGUUAUGGAUUCUCUUGCGUCAUUCCAUUAGAAAGAUAUGUGUUCUUACAAAUAUUACGGGGACCUACAUAUGUCUCAUUAGCAUUAAUAGAUCGAUUACGAUACUAUUUCACCUUCAUUGACAAGUACAUUAGAAAGGCACAUAUUAAUUUAAUGUGUGUGUACAUUUAAGAAGUGCGGAGUUGUUAAAAAUAGACUCGGGGCUGAAUAACUGAAUUCGAAUUUGUUUUUUUUAACCGAUUCGAUUCGAAUAUUCGAAUCCAAAUGAUUUGGGUGAACAGGAAUCGUAACCUAAACGUCAAUUGGGUGGCCUUGUUUCAAAACCCAGUCAUGAUUUUCUAGUUGUUCUGAUUUUUCUGGCUAGUAUCUUGCUAGUCGUUUUUAUGUAUAUAAUAUUUCAGACUUCAGAUAUUCAUA
rnacentral:lncRNA from 1 species